rnacentral:rRNA from 1 species
CAGCCGCCGCGGGAAUACGGAGGGGGCUAGCGUUGUUCGGAAUUACUGGGCGUAAAGCGCACGUAGGCGGCUUGGUAAGUUAGAGGUGAAAGCCUGGAGCUCAACUCCAGAAUUGCCUUUAAGACUGCCGAGCUAGCAGGUGAGAGAGGUAAGUGGAAUUCCGAGUGUAGAGGUGAAAUUCGUAGAUAUUCGGAAGAACACCAGUGGCGAAGGCGGCUUACUGGCUCAUACUGGACGCUGAGGUGCGAAAGCGCGGGGAGCAAACAGGAUUAGAUACCCGCGUAGUCCCUGUCUCUUAUAC